AACCGUCGUAAUAAAAAACCCAAACCCAUUUCGCAGUUCCUCAAUGCCUUCAGAUCAUUCAUUGUUGACUAUGAACAGCGCUUUCUCUUAGCUAUUCUUUAGUUCUAUUUGCCUUGCGUUUCUUUCUUCCUUGUUUCGCAAACCAGUGGCCAGCCUUUAAACUACUCAGGUGCAGGCCCAAGCCCUCAGACAGGAACGGCGGCUGUGCAAACUAGGUCUCAGGCUUGCUCGCCGACUUUCAGAACCGCACCAGGGCGCCUGCGUGGAGGCUGCCGGCCCAUAUCAAUAACCCGGUUGCUUCCAGUUCUUCUAGUUCUUUGCAGAAUAAGCAGCCCAGGGUCCAGCUUCCAGAAUCAGGCACCUCAUCAGCCGGUGAUGAUGAGUCAGAAUGGCUUACGCCCUUUCUGGGGAGGCCGCCGCUAUUAGCAUCUGGCAGUUAGCCCGUAUGUCGAGAAGAAGCCAUCAGAGGUGUAUCGCACUGGAAAGCUGGGCCUUAGAAAGGAUUUAAAACGUAAGGUGUGCUGGUAAUUCAAUAAAGGGCAAUGCCAAAGGCAGUCUUGUAAGUACCCGCAGGAGUGUGAGAGAUGUGCAGGGGCUCACCCAGCCACAGCGUGUUACAAAGGGAAGCGGCCCUUUGGGGAGGUCGGGGCUUCCACCACUCUAGUUCUAGACGAGCCCCCGCAGCAGCGAACCAUCGAUAAAGUCCUUCUGGGUCUAGCAUUUUCUCCAAUUCAGCUUUCUCCUCUCCUCAACCUCUUGUCUAUCCAUCCGGACGGAAGUGCAGCAUCCUAUCUUUGGAAGGGUUUCUCAGAGGGUUUCAGAAUCCCAGUAGUUGGCUCCUUAACCGCGAAGGACUCUCCUAAUCAGAAGUCAGUAAGGGAAAGGACGCUCGCCUCACCCAACGGGUAGCUAGCCCCACCCCUGGGUGCACACUAUGUGUGCCACUUUGGGUGCCAGAGCAGCUAGCUCCGCCUCUGGAGUCACACUAUGGCAUACAGCUAAUUGGGAUGAACCCAACAGGGCCGCCACUUAGCCCCUGCUUGGUCUCCAGGACAGAGGCACCCCUUCCCAGACCCACCCCCCUUUUGAGAUUAUUAGGCAACCAAAUGUAUCAUUCCAUAACACCUCAUACAGGAAUUAUUAUUAUUAUUAUUAUUAUUAUUUUCCCAUGGGGAACCUGCCUUUUUCUCCCAGAUCAACUACAAGAGCAAGACCACAGCUUUAACAAAAUGACAGCCCAAACAGGAAGACACAUGGGAGCAAUGGUACUGCUUUGAAGUGUUCCAGAUCCAUUUCCUGUUCUCCCAAUGAGCAGGGCAGCUGUGGGCAAAAUUGCAAAGAAGUACAAUAAUGAUUUAGUCCUUAGUCCUAUAAUCUAGUAAGCCUUUAAGCCCAACAGUCGAAAUCGCAUAAUUUCAAUGCUUUAACUAUAUUAGGGAACAUGUAUAGUUAGUAAACAAAUUGCUAGUUUGGUGAGAAAUAGCAUUUCACUGAAGUGGAUAACGCUUUUGCCAAGAGCUCACCUUUGGCAAUCUUCUAGAACAUGUUGCAUAUGUAGCAGUUCUUUCUAGCUAGAGUGAAACUGAAACCUGACAUUUACAGUACCAGAUAGAAGUGUUCUGGUAUGUCCUGGCUGUGUCUGGAAUGUCCUGGCCGUGUCUGUAGUACAACAGUUUUGGAAAUCUGUAGGAGAGCAUCCCACCAAUCUCUUGUCAUACUAACAAUCGUGUUAUCAACUAACAAUCAAAAGUGCAAAAAUUUUAGCUACAUGGGCAACAGGAUGUUGGCUAGAAGCAACUGGUUUUCUGAAGCUAAAACUUACAAUUUUGUUCUAGGAGUUACUUGAUCACAAUAUAGAACUAUUUGUUUAUUCCUUAAGAGUUUUACACAUGAUGAAAACGUAUACUCAGGCAGAUAAUUUUAUAAUCACUGUACUAUACUAUGAUACAGUGCAUAAUGAACAUCCACAUUCAGUUAGUCUGUGUGCCAGCCCCCCUUCAGAUUCAGCACAGAGAGCACCAAGUGACUCAGAAACAAAUCAGAAGUUUAAAAUUCAUGAUACAAAAUGAGUCUUGGGGCCUAUGUGCAUACCUAACCU